rnacentral:rRNA from 1 species
CCUACGGUGUGCAGCAGUCGAGAAUCAUUCACAAUGGGGGAAACCCUGAUGGUGCGACGCCGCGUGGGGGAAUGAAGGUCUUCGGAUUGUAAACCUCUGUCAUGUGGGAGCAAAUUAAAAAGAUAGUACCACAAGAGGAAGAGACGGCUAACUCGGUGCCAGCAGCCGCGGUAAUACAGAGGUCUCAAGAGUUGUUCGGAAUCACUGGGCGUAAAGCGUUCGUAGGCUGUUUCGUAAGUCGUGUGUGAAAGGCGCGGGCUCAACCCGCGGACGGCAGUUGAUACUGCGAGACUAGAGUAAUGGAGAGGUAACCGGAAUGCGCGGUGUAGCAGUGAAAUGCGUAGAUAUCGAGAAGAACACUCAUGGCGAAGGCAGGUUCCUGGACAUUAACUGACGCUGAGGCACGAAGGCCAGGGGAGCGAAAGGGAUUAGAUACCCGGGUAGUC